AGCAGCCGCGGUAAUUCCAGCUCCAAUAGCGUAUAUUAAAGUUGUUGCAGUUAAAAAGCUCGUAGUUGAAUUUCGGGAUCAAUAUGUUGGUCGUGCCUUGGUACGUACUGGCAUUAUCGAUUCCUACCUUCUGAAGAACCUCGAUGUCAUUAAUUUGGUGUCUUGGGGAAUCAGGACUGUUACUUUGAAAAAAUUAGAGUGUUUAAAGCAGGCUCGCGCUUGAAUACAUUAGCAUGGAAUAAUGAAAUAGGACGUUUGAUUCUAUUUUGUUGGUUUCUAGGAUCGACGUAAUGAUUAAUAGGGAUAGUUGGGGGCAUUAGUAUUCAAUUGUCAGAGGUGAAAUUCUUGGAUUUAUUGAAGACUAACUACUGCGAAAGCAUUUGCCAAGGAUGUUUUCAUUAAUCAAGAACGAAAGUUAGGGGAUCGAAGACGAUCAGAUACCGUCGUAGUCUUAACCAUAAACUAUGCCGACUAGGGAUCGGAUGAUGUUAAUUUUUUAAUGACUCAUUCGGCGCCUUAC
rnacentral:ncRNA from 5 species